AUUGAACGCUGGCGGCAUGCCUUACACAUGCAAGUCGAACGGCAGCACGGGUGCUUGCACCUGGUGGCGAGUGGCGAACGGGUGAGUAAUACAUCGGAACAUGUCCUGUAGUGGGGGAUAGCCCGGCGAAAGCCGGAUUAAUACCGCAUACGAUCUACGGAUGAAAGCGGGGGACCUUCGGGCCUCGCGCUAUAGGGUUGGCCGAUGGCUGAUUAGCUAGUUGGUGGGGUAAAGGCCUACCAAGGCGACGAUCAGUAGCUGGUCUGAGAGGACGACCAGCCACACUGGGACUGAGACACGGCCCAGACUCCUACGGGAGGCAGCAGUGGGGAAUUUUGGACAAUGGGCGAAAGCCUGAUCCAGCAAUGCCGCGUGUGUGAAGAAGGCCUUCGGGUUGUAAAGCACUUUUGUCCGGAAAGAAAUCCUUGGCCCUAAUACGGUCGGGGGAGGACGGUACCGGAAGAAUAAGCACCGGCUAACUACGG
rnacentral:rRNA from 1 species